rnacentral:lncRNA from 1 species
CACUCUCUCAGACAUCUAACCACUUCAUUGAUGAGCUGCCUCCACCAGUCCAAGAGCUGCUGGAUGAAAUUGAAUGUUUAAAGCAGCAAGAUUCCACCACUCAAGACCUCAAAGAGGAGGCGCUGUAUGACUGUGGCAUGCCAAUAGAAGUUUCUGAUCCAUUUAAAAUAGAGGACAGAGAGGCAAAAAAGGAAACGGAGAGAAAUGAGAAGAGAGGUAAUAGCUUAUGGACUGAAGAGCCAUUAAAUCUAGCAGAGGAAACAGAAAGGGCUCAUUCUACUCUUGAUGAUAUUUUAGAAAGAAUGCUUCAUACAAUUCCUGAAGAUGAGGAGAACCAAGAACAAGCUCAGGUGCACACUCUUAGGGCUGCAAACGUGAAUAAUCCAGGAGAUGGUGGAAUGAAGAAUGGAGUAAAGGAAUGCAAAACAAAGGAAGAAAGCAGAGAGCCAGAAAGCUGUGCCAGGAGUCCUGAAGACCCGCAUCAUGAGGAUCAGAAAUUCCACUUACGACGUCAGCUCUCUUGGCCCUCUCCGUUCAGGGUGAUCGUAUUGGAUCAGAGCAGCCCUCCUACAUGAAAAGGGCUAGUGAAUAAAUUCUAAUAUAUCACCUGCUUACUGCA